GAGCGGAGUUAUACGCUGGCAAUCCCCUUCGGGGGAGAGCCUUGUAUAAUUUAGCGGCGGACGGGUGAGUAACAGGUAGAUAAUCUGCCCUGGACAUUGGGAUAACAGCCAGAAAUGGUUGCUAAUACCGAAUAAGCACACACUAUCGCAUGGUAGAGUGUGAAAAGAUUUAUCGGUUCAGGAGGAGUCCGCCUUAUAUUAGCUAGUUGGUGGGGUAAAAGCCUACCAAGGCGACGAUCUAUAGCCGAACUGAGAGGUUGAUCGGCCACACUGGGACUGAGACACGGCCCAGACUCCUACGGGAGGCAGCAGUGAGGGAUAUUGCACAAUGGGCGAAAGCCUGAUGCAGCAACGCCGCGUGAAGGAAGAAGGUUUUCGGAUCGUAAACUUCUAUCGAUGGGGACGAAUAAUGACGGUACCCAGGUAAAAAGCCCCGGCUAACUACGUGCCAGCAGCCGCGGUAAUAAU
rnacentral:rRNA from 1 species